rnacentral:lncRNA from 1 species
UUCCCCAAACAUGUCUAGUUGAAAACUGCGCCAAAGCGUGUCAUUUGUAUAAACGCCCAAACGUGUCCAUUUCUCAACUAACCCCCAAACGUGUCCAAUCCCCAAAACGUGUCCAUAUCAAGCGUUAUUUGGUUAUUGCUAUUUCAUUAACGUAUACUAAUUUUACCAUUUCAUUAAAAAUAUACAUAAGCACGUUAGUACUUUUUCAAAACGGAAGAAUUAAACUUGCUUAAAGUGGGGGCGUCAUUUCGGCUAUUUCGUUUGUAAAUUGUAAGCAAACAUGUUGAGUUAAACAGUACAGUUAACGGGUCAAAGUGUCCCUUUCUCUGCGCGUUAAAACUUUAAUGUUCUCUCUAAUUAUGCAUGAAAUACUGACAACUGGACAAUUCGCAAUCAAGAGUCUAAAGUUAAUUUAUUCAGUAGAACUGAAAAAAAACAUUAAAACUUGUAUGUUUUCUCUAAUUUGCAUGAAAUACUUGCAACUGGACAAUAUGCAAC